AGAACGAACGCUGGCGGCAUGCCUAAUACAUGCAAGUCGAACGAGACCUUCGGGUCUAGUGGCGCACGGGUGCGUAACGCGUGGGAAUCUGCCCCUUGGUUCGGAAUAACAGUUAGAAAUGACUGCUAAUACCGGAUGACGACGUAAGUCCAAAGAUUUAUCGCCGAGGGAUGAGCCCGCGUAGGAUUAGCUAGUUGGUGAGGUAAUGGCUCACCAAGGCGACGAUCCUUAGCUGGUCUGAGAGGAUGAUCAGCCACACUGGGACUGAGACACGGCCCAGACUCCUACGGGAGGCAGCAGUGGGGAAUAUUGGACAAUGGGCGAAAGCCUGAUCCAGCAAUGCCGCGUGAGUGAUGAAGGCCUUAGGGUUGUAAAGCUCUUUUACCAGGGUAUGAUAAUGACAGUACCUGGAGAAUAAGCUCCGCUAACUCCGCGCCAGCACGCGC
rnacentral:rRNA from 1 species